GAUGAAGAACGCAGUGAAACGCGAAAGGUAAUGCGAAUUGCAGAAUCAGUGAGUCAUCGAAUCUUUGAACGCACAUUGCGCCUCUAGGUAUUCCUGGAGGCACGCCUGUUCGAGCGCCAUUACACACUCCAAGCUCUGCUUGAUGUUGGACGACCCGAGAGAUCGGACGUCUGGAACGUGUGGGCGUCGGGCGUCGGACCACGAGCGUAGCAAGACCAUCAAACAGUCAAGUCGUUCUGUGGAGCCGGCGGUCGACCGCCUCUUUUUACAACUAUAACCACAAGUUUGGCCUCGGAUCAGGCGGGGAUACCCGCUGAACUUAAGCAUAUCAAUAAGCGGAGGA
rnacentral:misc_RNA from 1 species